rnacentral:rRNA from 1 species
GACGAACGCUGGCGGCGUGCUUAACACAUGCAAGUCGAACGGCAAGGCCCUGCUUUUGUGGGGUGCUCGAGUGGCGAACGGGUGAGUAACACGUGAGUAACCUGCCCUUGACUUUGGGAUAACUUCAGGAAACUGGGGCUACUACCGGAUAGGAGCUCCUGCUGCGUGGUGGGGGUUGGAAAGUUUCGGCGGUUGGGGCUGGACUCGCGGCUUAUCAGCUUGUUGGUGGGGUAGUGGCUUACCAAGGCUUUGACGGGUCGCCGGCCUGUGAGGGUGACCGGCCACCAUGGGCCUGAGAGACGGCCCAGUCGCCUACGGGAGGCAGCAGGCGGGAAUAUGGCACAAUGGGCGGAAGCCUGAUGCAGCAACGCCGCGUGCGGGAUGACGGCCUGCGGGUUGUAAACCGCUUUCGCCUGUGACGAAGCGUGAGUGACGGUAAUGGGUAAAGAGGCACCGGCUAACUACGUG